UGUUGAUAUGGUGAAAUAUUCAGUCAGGAAACGUUUCUCGAGCACUUAUGGAAGGAGUCUUCAGUGUCAGCACUUUGUAACAAUCAGAGGUGUCACGAAACCAUAUCUACUAGGGAUGGGCGAUAUCUUAUCGUUUGCGAUUUACCGCUUAUGUGCAGAGCGAAAAUAAGUACGGUGGAAGGCGGACAUGAAGCUGAGGAGGAUUUCAUCGCUAAACGAGGAGCUACUGUACCUCUACAAUCUGGAACUGGAUUGGUUACAGAAAAUCAGUUUUAUUUUUGGAUCAUGUGUUUAUGUUUAUGAGG